GAGUUUGAUCCUGGCUCAGAUUGAACGCUGGCGGCAUGCCUUACACAUGCAAGUCGAACGGUAACAGGUCUUCGGAUGCUGACGAGUGGCGAACGGGUGAGUAAUACAUCGGAACGUGCCCGAUCGUGGGGGAUAACGGAGCGAAAGCUUUGCUAAUACCGCAUACGAUCUACGGAUGAAAGCAGGGGACCGCAAGGCCUUGCGCGGACGGAGCGGCCGAUGGCAGAUUAGGUAGUUGGUGGGAUAAAAGCUUACCAAGCCGACGAUCUGUAGCUGGUCUGAGAGGACGACCAGCCACACUGGGACUGAGACACGGCCCAGACUCCUACGGGAGGCAGCAGUGGGGAAUUUUGGACAAUGGGCGAAAGCCUGAUCCAGCCAUGCCGCGUGCAGGAUGAAGGCCUCGGUUGUAACG
rnacentral:rRNA from 1 species